AUUGAACGCUGGCGGCAGGCCUAACACAUGCAAGUCGAACGAGUGGCGGACGGGUGAGUAAUGUUUGGGCAACUGCCUGAUGGAGGGGGAUAACUACUGGAAACGGUCGCUAAUACCGCAUACCAUCGGAUGUGCCCAGAUGGGAUUAGCUAGUAGGUGGGGUAAAGGCCUACCUAGGCGACGAUCCCUAGCUGGUCUGAGAGGAUGACCAGCCACACUGGGACUGAGACACGGUCCAGACUCCUGCGGGAGGCAGCAGUGGGGAAUAUUGCACAAUGGGCGCAAGCCUGAUGCAGCCAUGCCGCGUGUAUGAAGAAGGCCUUCGGGUUGUAAAGUACUUUCAGCGAGGAGGCGUUAACCGCAGAAGAAGCACCGGCUAACUCCGUGCCAGCAGCCGCGGUAAUUC
rnacentral:rRNA from 1 species